UACGUAGGGGCAAGCGUUGUCCGGAUUCAUUGGGCGUAAAGAGCGUGUAGGCGGCCAGGUAGGUCGGUUGUGAAAACUGGAGGCUCAACCUUCAGAGGUCGACCGAAACCAUCUGGCUAGAGUCCGGGAGAGGAGAGUGGAAUUCCCGGUGUAGCGGUGAAAUGCGCAGAUAUCGGGAAGAACACCCGUGGCGAAGGCGGAUCUCUGGGCCUUGCCUGACGCUGAGGCGCGAAAGCUAGGGGAGCGAACAGG
rnacentral:rRNA from 1 species